rnacentral:rRNA from 1 species
UACGUAGGGGGCAAGCGUUGUCCGGAAUCAUUGGGCGUAAAGCGCGUGUAGGCGGUCCGGUAAGUCCGCUGUGAAAGUCGGGGGCUCAACCCUCGAAUGCCGGUGGAUACUGUCGGGCUAGAGUACGGAAGAGGCGAGUGGAAUUCCUGGUGUAGCGGUGAAAUGCGCAGAUAUCGGGAGGAACACCAAUGGCGAAGGCAGCUCGCUGGGACGUUACUGACGCUGAGACGCGAAAGCGUGGGGAGCAAACAGG